UUGAUCCUGGCUCAGGAUGAACGCUAGCGGCAGGCUUAACACAUGCAAGUCGAGGGGUAACAUUGUAGCUUGCUACAGAUGACGACCGGCGCACGGGUGCGUAACGCGUAUAGAACUUACCUUUUACAGAGGGAUAGCCUUUAGAAAUGAAGAUUAAUACCUCAUAGUAUUAUUGAUUGGCAUCAAUUAAUAAUUAAAGAUUUAUCGGUAAAAGAUGGCUAUGCGUCCUAUUAGCUAGCUGGUAAGGUAAUGGCUUACCAUGGCUACGAUAGGUAGGGGCCCUGAGAGGGGGAUCCCCCACACUGGUACUGAGACACGGACCAGACUCCUACGGGAGGCAGCAGUGAGGAAUAUUGGGCAAUGGAGGUAACUCUGACCCAGCCAUGCCGCGUGCAGGAAGACUGCCCUAUGGGUUGUAAACUGCUUUUAUACAGGAAGAAACACUCGUACGUGUACGAGCUUGACGGUACUGUAAGAAUAAGGACCGGCUAACUCCGUGCCAGCAGCCGCGGUAAUACGGAGGGUCCGAGCGUUAUCCGGAAUCAUUGGGUUUAAAGGGUCCGCAGGCGGUCAAUUAAGUCAGAGGUGAAAUCCCAUAGCUUAACUAUGGAACUGCCUUUGAUACUGGUUGACUUGAGUCAUAUGGAAGUAGAUAGAAUGUGUAGUGUAGCGGUGAAAUGCAUAGAUAUUACACAGAAUACCGAUUGCGAAGGCAGUCUACUACGUAUGUACUGACGCUCAUGGACGAAAGCGUGGGGAGCGAACAGGAUUAGACACCCUGGUAGU
rnacentral:rRNA from 1 species